AUUUAUUAUAGCCAUGAAAUGCUCUGCUCUCUUCUCUUUUCCUUGCUGUCCCCAGGGCUGGAGGAGCACGGGCCUCCCCGGGAGUGGGCUUCGGCCUCGCUGGACUCCCGUCUCCUUCCAAGGAGUAGGGCCUGAGGGACUAGAAGCAAGAGUCCCUAGAGCAUCCAAGAUUUUUGGUUUCAAACCAAUUUCCUGCUGACCAGAAUGAAAUGGAGCCACAUUUCAGCACGAUGCACCUGCUGACCUCCUGCAAGUCAGGGACCUUCUCUGCCCCUCUUUUGCUCCGCUGCAGGAGGGGGAAGCUGGGAAUGUGUUCCUCUGGGGUCCCAUCACCUCCAGCCAGCCACUGUCCCUGUCUCCCCAAAACCUCCUCGUUGUCCCUCCUCUGUCCUCCUCCUCCAACUGCCUUCGCCCUGCUCUCCUCUUUUUCGCCUGAGGUUCGUGCUGCCUCCUCACCUCUUGUCCUGUUUCUCCCUUCUCUCUGCUCCCUCCGUUGAUCUUGCUAUUUUGCUUCUCUUUCCCUUCCUCUCUUCUCCUCCCUCCCCUUCCUCCCUGCUUCCUGCCUCAGCUUCUCAGUCUCUCUCCAUUCUUCCUCUAGCUUCCUUCCCCCCCCAGAAGACCCAGCCCUUCCUAGAGCCCCAGAAGCCAGGGUUCAUGCCCCAGCUCUCUACCCACACAUGCUGUGCAACCCUGGGCCAGUCACUGGUCUCUUGGGCCUCAGUUCAACAGAUGGCUGUCUUGGUGAUGUGAGAUCAUAGGGUGGAAGCACCCAGAAUGGUGCCAGGCACUCAAAAACUUUUUUCUUUUCCUUUUUAAGGAACUACUAACCUUGAGGUUAUGGAUUACCAAACCCUUCCUGUUCUUGGAAUCUGGGUCCUACUAUUCCCAAGAAUUUGAAUUACCACGGGUCCCUGGGGAUGUAAGGGGAUGAGGCUUCUGGUGUACUUUGGGAAGGGGAGGAGAGUGAAAAGGAGUUGGGAGGACACUCUAGCAUUGCCCAGAGGGCAGAGGACGUUCUGCCUAUUUCCAGAGGUUAUUGACCCUGGACCUCUUUUAUGGACUUCCUCACCCAGGCCCCUUGAGCUUGGCCAUACUUGAGGCAAUGGGGUAUCUUCCUUCUCCUGGAGCCCCUUGAAUCUUAGGCCUCGGGAGCACACAGCCUAUCUGGUUUCUUGGCUGCACCCACAGAGGAGAGCCCUAUACUCCUUGCUUACAACCAGCAAAGACUCCGCAGCCAUCCCUGCACACGACUCAGGCUCCUUGGCUUGGCACUCAAGGCUCUUUGCCUUCCUGUCCUGCUUUGCUUCCAGCUGCAAAGAUGGUGGCUCCCUGUUUUCCUUUGCUGAAGUUGAUUCUCAGCCAGACAUGCCUUCCCCCUGCACGCUUCCCUCAGCCAUCCUAUCUGGGACCCUGACCCAAUCAAUGGUUCCCUAAUGCACCUUUGAGACCAAGCGUACCUGGCACCUCCUCUCUUGCCCCACUAUCUGCUCACAUGACCCUCUGCAGGCCUGUAAGCUGCUGGAGGCUCCGAGUAUGCCUCAUUCAUGUCUGUCGCCCUUACUAAGCCCAAACCAUGGAAGACACGUAAUAAAAAGUAAGUGAUUAAAUGACAA